AGGUGGUGUGCAGCCCUCUGUACCACACAGCAGCCAUGGCCAGCCACAUUGAGCUCUAUACCGGCUCCAAGAUGCCCAUUGUGGGGCAGUCACCGCCAGGCCAGGUGGCUGAGAUCGUGAAGGUAGCGAUUGACCUUGGGCACUGCCACAUUGACUGUGCCCCGGUGUAUGAGAAUGAGAAGGAGGUGGGGGUGGCCCUGCAUGAGAAGCUCAAGGAGGGGGUGGUGAAGUGCCAGGAGCUCUUCAUCAUCAGCAAGCUGUAGUGCACAUUCCAUGACAAGAGCCUGGUGAAAGGAGCCUUCCAGAAGAUUCUCACUGACCUGCAGCUGGACUACUUGGAUCUCUACCUUAUCCAUUGGCCCACAGGCCUCAAGCAUGGAGCUGAAUAUUUCCCAUUGAAAGCAGUUGGCAUCUCCAACUUCAACCAUCUUCAGAUCAGGCUCUUCAGCAAGUCUGGCUUAAAGUAUAAGCCAGCUGUUAACCAGAUUGAAUGCCACCCAUACCUAACUCAGGAGAAGCUGAUCCAGUACUGUCAGUCUAAAGACAUUGUGGUGACUGCUUACAGUCCCCUCAGUUCUUCCAACAGGCCCUGGGCUAAGUCAGAAGACCCUUCCAUCCUGGAGAUCUCAGGAGUAAAGCAAUUGCAAACAAGUACAAUAAAACUACUGCCCAGGUGCUGAUCCAUUUCCCCAUGCAGAGGAAUUUGGUAGUGAUCUCCAAAUCUGUGACAUUAGCCCGCAUUGCUGAGAACUUCCAUGUCUUUGACUUUGAGCUGAGCAGGGAGGACAUGGCCACCGUACUUGGCUAUAACAAGAACUGGAGUGCCUGUGCCUUGGUGAGCUGUGCCAACCACAAGGACUACGCUUUCCAUGCAGUUUUGAGGCUGUGGAUGCUUGCUGUUCCUCAGUGUCUUGCACCUGUUUCUCCUGCCUCAUUUGUCCUUGCAAGUAUAGUGUGGCCCAUGUCGCUUGGCAGUGGGGAGCCACCUAGAGACAAAGCACUGAAGGCCUGUUAUCCUGAUGCCUGGUGUGAAGAGCAGUAUUAGUAGAUGAGGUGUCUGUCUUUUCUUUGCCUCUAAUCAUGUCCUCCUGGGGAAGGUACAACCUGAGUAUCCUUUUCUGACCAAAGAGAAGCAACUUCUACAACGUCAAAAUAUUGUUACUAACAGCUAAUUUUCUGACUCCUUUCAACUGUAUU